CGCACUGCCCACCAGAUUAUUGGAGGUUAUUACAAGAAGCAGAUCAAUUAUUGUUUUCAAAGGUCAGAUAUUACUAUAGUAAUAUGGGCCAUUAUCCGUCACAGUCCUGACGUUACUACUAUUGUUAAUCCACUACAGCGACCAUCAUUGAUGGAUUGAUUAUAUGUGUGGUUUCAAUCUGACUCUUGGCCUCGAAUGACCUCGGUCCUAUCUACGCUCAGAGGCUGCAUCGCAUGAUGACCAUAUCAAACAUACAAAACACCAAGGAAACUUGUGUCACGGUAGACCUAUCCCUUUCACUAUACCACUCUCCUCGCCAUAAGUAUAAGGGCACUUAUGUUUCUCUUGGUGUCU
rnacentral:lncRNA from 1 species